rnacentral:rRNA from 1 species
AACAGGAUUAGAUACCCUGGUAGUCCAUGCCGUAAACGAUGUCUACUAGCCGUUGGGGCCUUUGAGGCUUUAGUGGCGCAGCUAACGCGAUAAGUAGACCGCCUGGGGAGUACGGUCGCAAGACUAAAACUCAAAUGAAUUGACGGGGGCCCGCACAAGCGGUGGAGCAUGUGGUUUAAUUCGAUGCAACGCGAAGAACCUUACCUGGUCUUGACAUAGUAAGAACUUUCCAGAGAUGGAUUGGUGCCUUCGGGAACUUACAUACGGGUGCUGCAUGGCUGUCGUCAGCUCGUGUCGUGAGAUGUUGGGUUAAGUCCCGCAACGAGCGCAACCCUUUUCCUUAUUUGCCAGCGGGUUAAGCCGGGAACUUUAAGGAUACUACCAGUGACAAACUGGAGGAAGGCGGGGACGACGUCAAGUCAUCAUGGCCCUUACGACCAGGGCUACACACGUGCUACAAUGGUCGGUACAAAGGGUUGCUACCUCGCGAGAGGAUGCUAAUCUCAAAAAGCCGAUCGUAGUCCGGAUUGGAGUCUGCAACUCGACUCCACGAAGUCGGAAUCGCUAGUAAUCGCGGAUCAGAAUGCCGCGGUGAAUACGUUCCCGGGCCUUGUACACACCGCCCGUCACACCAUGGGAGUUUGUUGCACCAGAAGUAGGUAGUCUAACCUUAGGGGGGACGCUUACCACGGUGUGGCAGAUGACUGGGGUGAAGUCGUAACAAGGUAACC